rnacentral:rRNA from 1 species
UACAGAGGGUGCGAGCGUUAAUCGGAUUUACUGGGCGUAAAGCGUGUGUAGGUGGCUACCUAAGUCGAUUGUGAAAUCUCUGGGCUCAACCUGGGAAUUGCAGUCGAUACUGGGAAGCUCGAGUUCGGUAGAGGACGGCGGAAUUCCCGGUGUAGCGGUGAAAUGCGUAGAUAUCGGGAGGAACAUCAGUGGCGAAGGCGACUUCCUGGACCAAUACUGACGCUCAGGUGCGAAAGCGUGGGGAGCAAACAGG